CUCGGAUUCAUCAGAUUCUCUACUUGCGUCAUUUGCAAUGGAAAGACCCUCCCACAAGCAAAACCAUAUUCCUGCUGCUGUCAGUUAUGAUGCACUGAGAAAACUUCAGAGACCUAAACUUUUUCCAGAGAAGAGAAGCUUUACUGGUGUUCCAGCCCUAAGCAACCAUCUUUCCUGUGAAAAAUUCCCUCUCCUAGUACUUUAGUUCUGUGGAUCCAAAAUUUAUAGCAUUCUUCUACCACCACAGGGGCUAUAUGACAUUGACAGACAAGACACUUUUCAGAAAGACAGGUUGUUCUUUUGGGCCACAUCUAAGACAUCUUUGUCUAGCCAAAAGCCACAAAUAAUUUCUCAUUUUUUGGCUUCUGGAAGAUGUACAGUUAAAUGUUAUAUUUGGGACUGUUAUCUAAUUUGAUUAAAUUGCACUCUACAAUAUGAUAUUUGAAUUGAUGAAAAAUUAGUGAAUGUUAGUAUUUUUUAAAGUAGCCAAAUCUUGCAAUUUAUAUAUAAUAGAGAAGACUAGAAAAUCCCCCAUAUUUAUUUCCUCUUACUUCAUACUACUAAAAUUUGUAUUUAGGCAUUUGGUUUCUCAGAUAAACAUUACAUUCCCCAGUAUAUGGUUCUAUCUGGCUUGGUGACGACAUGAUGAACAUUAAGAUGUGAGCAGAAGUAAUACAUACACACUCUUUUUAAUGUCUUUAAUUGAAUGGGAUAUUGGCCCAUUUUUCCUUCCAGUUUAUUACACUGAAUAUUGACAUGUUAUUUUCCAAUAUUGAGACAAUCAAUGACAAGACUUUAAGAGUAACAAUGUAAAAAUUACAGAAGUUGUCUGAGUUUAUCAACAAUCCCCUGGAUUAGAACCCCCUACCAGUUCUAGGUCAUCUAAUAUAUAGACAUUGUGUUCAGUAGAAAUAAAUAUAUAUAUUUUUUAUUAUGCUUUAAGUUCCAGGAUACAUGUGCACAGCAUGCAGGUUUGUUACAUUGGUAUACACGUGCCAUGUUGGUUUGCUGCACCCAUUAACUCAUCAUUUACAUUAGGUAUUUCUCCUAAUGCUAUCCCUCCCCCUGCCCCCACCCCCCGACAGGCCCUGGGUUGUGAUGUUCCCCACCCUGUGUCCAAGUGUUCUUAUUGCUCAAUUCCCACCUAUGGGAAUACAUUUUUAAAUCAUUUUUAAAGGUGUUAUUACAUUCUGAUUGAACAUUUUCAGAAAGAAUAAAUAAUUUAAUACAAGAAGUGGGCCACUCCAUGUAACAAAACAAACCACCCCUACAGCAACAACAACAAAAAACACUAAUGAAUGUGACUUUAGCUUUGCAACAUCGUGACAGACUAGCAAGUUAAUGACAUUUGUUAUGCCAUAGAAAAUAUUUGUUGAAUUGCCACUCUAAUGACUUUAUAUCAGCCAACUCAUUAUCAACACUAGAAAAGAUGAUUAAAAAAUACUUCAGUACGUUCACGUGUUGGCUUGUUAACAUUUUUAAGAGUCUAUAAGAGAAAAAUGCAUCCAAUCUCGACAAAAAUAUUUUUCAAGUAUCUUGUAGGUACAUACAACUAACUACCUUGUGAACAAAAGUCACUAUAUAAUUAUAUAAUUUCUGACACUUAAAAAAGUUUAUUGUGCAAAAGAAGAUAUCUGUUCUAAUACCAAAUCCACAUAUAAAAUAAUUGACUUAUUUAAAUAAUUUAAGAUGCUCUUUUAUAUAUUUAUAUUAAAAACUUUACAGAGAAUAAAAAAAGCAUUAUACAGGCUACUUAUGGUUUUUGAUGUUUGGAUAUAGAAUACAUGUAUCAAAGAUGGUGGAAAUAAAUCAAACAAUAUAUUCAAUUGGACUUAAUUGCAUUAUUACAUGCCAAGUGUCGUAUACCAUCUGUUUGCACAUAACACUUUUUAAUUUAGGUAAAAUUAUUAUCAUAAAGCUAUAUGAAUUUAUUUUAUUCCAUGUUAUUAUUUAUGUAUUGUUAGGAACAUUUGCUUAAAAAUCAUAUUUGGACAGUUAGUAUCAGAUACUUUACAUCCUUUGAAUCAGUUAUUUUAUAACAGUAUAUACUAAACAUCAUUACUCCUUUUCAAACAUAAAUAACGCAAUACAAAUUGGACAAAAAAUUCAGGAAAGAUCUGGGAUCAAAAAGGAG
rnacentral:lncRNA from 1 species